rnacentral:rRNA from 1 species
UACGGAGGGUGCGAGCGUUGUCCGGAAUCAUUGGGCGUAAAGAGCGCGUAGGCGGACCCUUAAGUGAGAGGUGAAAGGUUCAGGGCUCAACCCGAACACUGCCUUUCAUACUGGGGGCCUUGAGUGCGGGAGAGGCGAGUGGAAUGGUCGGUGUAGCGGUGAAAUGCGUAGAUAUCGUAAGGAAGACCAGCGGCGAAGGCGAGUUCCUGGACAGUUACUGACGCUGAGGCACGAAGGCCAGGGGAGCAAACGGG